rnacentral:rRNA from 1 species
UGUCGUUAGCUCGUGUCGUGAGAUGUUGGGUUAAGUCCCGCAACGAGCGCAACCCUCGCCCUUAGUUGCCAGCAUUAGUUGGGCACUCUAAGGGACUGCCGGUGAUAAGCCGAGAGGAAGGUGGGGAUGACGUCAAGUCCUCAUGGCCCUUACGGGCUGGGCUACACACGUGCUACAAUGGUGGUGACAGUGGGCAGCGAGCACGCGAGUGUGAGCUAAUCUCCAAAAGCCAUCUCAGUUCGGAUUGCACUCUGCAACUCGAGUGCAUGAAGUUGGAAUCGCUAGUAAUCGCGGAUCAGCAUGCCGCGGUGAAUACGUUCCCGGGCCUU